UCGAGGGGCAGCGAGGGUGAUAGCAAUAUUACCUGUCGGCGACCGGCGCACGGGUGCGUAACGCGUAUGCAACCUACCAUCAACAGGGGGAUAACACUGAGAAAUUGGUACUAAUACCCCAUAAUAUCUCAUGCGGCAUCGCAUGGGGUUGAAAACUCCGGUGGUUGAUGAUGGGCAUGCGUUGUAUUAGCUGGUUGGUGAGGUAACGGCUCACCAAGGCGACGAUACAUAGGGGGACUGAGAGGUUAACCCCCCACAUUGGUACUGAGACACGGACCAAACUCCUACGGGAGGCAGCAGUGAGGAAUAUUGGUCAAUGGACGCAAGUCUGAACCAGCCAUGCCGCGUGCAGGAUGACGGCUCUAUGAGUUGUAAACUGCUUUUGUACGAGGGUAAACCCCGAUACGUGUAUUGGGUUGAAAGUAUCGUACGAAUAAGGAUCGGCUAACUCCGUGCCAGCAGCCGCGGUAAUACGGAGGAUCCGAGCGUUAUCCGGAUUUAUUGGGUUUAAAGGGUGCGUAGGCGGUUUGAUAAGUUAGAGGUGAAAUGUCGGGGCUCAACCCCGAAACUGCCUCUAAUACUGUU
rnacentral:rRNA from 1 species